ACAGAGGCAGAUAUCGAUCAGCAGGAGGCGCCGCCGAGCAGCAAGACACCACCGAAGAAGAAGAAGAACCGGAAGAGAAAGAAGAAGGAGAACAAGACGGAGUGUGAAGCUGAUCUGCAGCGUGAGCUGUGAUUAUUGAUCAGAUGGAAGGUGAGUCUGGUGACAUCACGGUGACAUCAAACAGGAAGUGCUCUGCGGUGACAGGAAGUGGCAGAAAGACCAAAGACAACGCGGCCGACUGGCACAACCUGAUGCUGCGAUGGGAACGACUGAACGACGACGGAUUCAAGGCCGCAACCAACAUCGUAAACAUGAGGCGCUCACAGAGUGAUCGACUGCUGGUGGACGAGUCUUCAUCUUCAUCAUCUUCUUCAUCUUCAUCAUCCUCAGCGUCGCAGCAGGCGGCUGCAGCUGCAGAGCUGCAGGACAAAUGCAUCAAACUGCAGGAGGUCGUCGACAAAAUGGUCGCCGUGGUAAUGAAGAUGGAGCGUCUGGUGACGUCACAGCAAGGCAUUCAGGACCUGGAGGAGUUUCAGUUUGGACCCGAAGGCAGGAAGAUUCCUCUGUUCCACAGCUGGAGCUCCAAACAGCUGGAGGAGUCGUGUCACUUCCUGUUGGCUGCCUACAGCCAGGAGCUGCAGCUCAAACGGACCAUCCUACAGGAAGUGGCCCACACCGUGACCCCUGACCUCUGCCUCGUCUACCUGUCCUGCUGGCUCCACCAGCCCUUCAUCCCCCCCCACAGCCGGCUGACGCUGGAGGCUCUGCUGCUGGAGACUGGACACCGGCCGCUAUGACACCUGCUCACCUGUGUGACAUCAGCUCACCUGGUUCACUGAUUGGCUGCAGGAAGCUUCAGUCACCAGAACUCACGCAGGAAGAUCGGCCGCCAGUGACGUCAUCACAGGUGAAAGCCGAACGGACCAAUCAGACGAGUCGACAAGGACCGACAAGGCUGAGGCUGUCCAGCCCAGAGAGGACAAGUUACAGUUGAUUGUCAUCUUGUCUCAAGAACAAAUCAGAUUCCACCUCCACGUAUUGAUCAGGUUAUUGAUGGUGUCGCUGCUGAUCGGGAGCUCGUCUCAGGUAACAGUCUGUUAAAUAUGAGCAGCAGAAAUCAAAGGAACUGAGAACUGAGGCGUGAAGAGAUGAACGGCCUCUCUGGUUUCUGAAUGCAGCUCUGAUGAAAAAAACUAGCUUCAAACAACAACUUCAGUCUGAACAAACAGCGACUCGCUUCUGGUUCAGAUUUAGAAGAACAAUCUGCCCUGAACAUCUUUAACCACACAUCAGCGCCCCCUGCAGGCUGCUGGGCUAACUACAGCCAGGGGUGUAAUACAGGCGCUGACCUGAGGGGGGGCACUGCAGCAAACAGCACCGAACACAACCUCCUGACUCUGAUUGGACAGCCUGGCAGGUGCUUCCUCCAGGUGUCUCUAAGAUUGGUUCAGGUGUUGGUGGUCUGGUGACACCUUAAAAAUACCACCUUAAAAGUGCCUGUCUCUGUGAUGUGGUCCACAUCAGGUUCUGGUUCUGCUUAGUCCAGAUGUGUCUGGAUGGUGCUGAAGGUUUACUGAGGAGCCUUGGCCCCGUCUGAAGCCUCGAUGCCCAGCAGGGCCUGGACCGCCUCCAGGGGGACGCCCUCCGGGGUCUGGAUGUGCAUGGUGGUGCCGUCCGGUCCGUUCACGAUGACGAUCCCGUCCGACCCGGGUUCUGCCAACUGCACCGUCAGCCCUUCGGUCUGGAUGUAGAUCUCCUGACCCUCCUGCAGCUCUUUGGACUCGCAGGGAUCCGUGCUGCCAAACUCGGGCUGGGAGGAGUCCUGCUGCCGGGGCUGAGAGGGGGGCAAGGUUUGGACCGAGCCGAACCCGGAUGUUUGGACGGGUCCGGACUCGAGUGUCUUAGUGUCGGCGCUUCUCUCAGGGCUGGAACCCAGAGCUUUCUCCAGCUCAGACACCUGAGCUGCGAUGUCAUUGGAGCUCAACACCUGGUCCUGCUGCAGUGGCAGAAGCCCCUCCUCCUCACCUGGGCUAUCCUCCAUGAGCGUGGCAGCAGCUGGAACGUGGGCGGAGUUCAGUGUCACAGGGGUGGAGCCAGAGGAGCUGAGGACAUCACAAACACAGAACAGAUCAGCUCUGAACAUCUGCUCCAGACCCUACAGAGGAACAGCAGCUUCACACCUGUGUGGUCACCUGUUCUACCUGAGCUCAGAGGAUGCGGGGUGGGGUCAGCUCACCUGGAGGCGGAGUCAGCAGAGGUGGGCGGCAGCUUGGAUUCACCUGGAACCACCAGAGGAGAUACAGAGACCGAGCAGGAGUUCAGAGAGGAAUUCGCCGGAGUAACAGUGGUCACAGGGGUCACCGGGGUAACAGGGGUCACAGAGGUCACUGGGGUAGUAGAGGGAAUAGCGUUCACUGUACCACCUUAAAAGGAAAAGACGGAAAACAGGAAGAAAUAUGAAACCACUUCAGUUCAACAUGCAGGAACGAUAAUGAAUCAUUACUGUGGAGAACUGAUACUACUGCAGUACAGUGUAGCACAGUGUAGUACAGUGCAGUACAGUGUAGUAUAGUUGCAGUACCUGUUGUGGGCGUCUCGAUGCCGUUGUGGUGAACUGGAAUACUGUUCUCCAUCUUGAACCUCUUUGAUGGCGGCAGCAUCUUGGAGUUCUGAGAAAAAGUUUCAGAGUAAAUUUUACUGAACCUGGAUCAGAACCGGCCCCGGUUAAAUCAGAGGACACCAGAUCCAGGUUCUGAGAUCAGGGUCUGAUAUGUACCUAGAACCAGCCCGGCUGACAGUGAGUUUACCUCCAUGUAUCGGACGUUCUUAUUGGUCAGACUGGAGCUGAGCGAUGCUCCAGGAAGCACCUUCAUCCUGUUGACCUCGUCCAGGAUCCCCAGACACCUGGCAACCUGAGACACACAGCACAGUCCAGAAUAAAGGCCUGGAUACCUGUGUUUACUUGUGUCUACCUGUAUACGACCUGCAGCAGAAUGUUUCUGAGAAAACCUGGGCUACAAAACCAAGUUUUGAUAGUUUUACCUGAAUGCAUCAAAUGCAAACCGCCACAAAUUCACAUACUAAAAAUAUGUAAUAUAUAAAAAUAUUACAAUAAAAGAUGUCAAUAAUUACCACUAUGGACUGAAAUGACACAUUUUUCAGUUACACCUCUGUUGUCUCUUCUGACUCACCUCGAUGUUCCGGACCUCCAGAGGUGAGGCUCCGCCCAGCGGGCUGCUGAUGUACUCCUGGGCAGCUUGUCUCACCUGAGUCUGCAGGGACUCAAACUCACGGUAAAUGUCUGGAAAACGAGUCCGAACCGGACCACCACGCUCCACCUACAACAGGAAGAGGACAGAGAACAAAUUCUCAGAAACACCUGAGAAAUAACAUGUCUGAGGAGAACAACACCUGAGAAAGGACGAGUUCUUCAGAACUUUAAGACUCUAUGUAAAAAGAGAAUCAGCCGGAGGUGUUUAGUGAAGCAGCAUCAAUAUAAUAAGUAGUGAUGUCCUGAUCUAAUCCCAAACAUCAGGAUCAGGGUUAAUUAAGGCAUUUCUUAACUGGUAUCGGCCCAAACCCUUGUUUACAUCCACGAUAAAGUCUUCUGUGAUGAUUAAUGCCCUCUGGCCACACCUGUUGCUUUAACCAGGAUUAUCAUCCAUCGAUCUAUUGUCUAUACACUCACUAUAUCCUCUGUAGGACUGACUGAGGGUGAAGGCAGGUUCACUUGGUCAGGUAAUCUGUCCAUCACAGAGACUUCUACGGACAAUUUAGAAUGAACCUCAGCAUGUGUUUGGACUGUGGGAGGAACCUGGAGAACCUGUUGAGAACCCACACAGGGGGAACAAACUCCACACAGAAUGAAUGUUCCCAGAUCGGGAGCUGUGAGGCGACGGUGCUAACCGCCGCCAAUCAACCCCAAUAUCUACCUGUUACAUAUUCCACUGGGGUAUUUAAAGACUGUCCUUUAAACCCAGUUUGUUUUAAUACAAAAAAACCUCUGGUUGGAGGUCAUUAAGCAGAACAGAAAUGUUUGUCAUGGUGCCCCUUGCUAGCUACACUCCGACAAUGCACUCUGCUUGCCAACAGGAACUGAGAUUUGGUAUUGGUAGAUACUAAAAAUUAAUUAUUUGUAUCAGAUUGGAGGAAAAAAAAACUUGACCUCUCUUAUGAUAACACUUUGAAGAAUGAAAUGUCCUCCCUGGUCACUGCUGUUUGCUAAAGACAUUUGCUGAUUAACUAUUUCAUUAAUACACGGGGGAAAUAAUAAAGACAUUAUAUUUGUUCGGGUGUUAUAAUGUAAAACUCAGGUGUGUACCUUCGCCUGCAGCAUCUCCCACAGACUCAACACUUUGGUCAAACGAGGAAAAACAACGUCCAUCAGCUCCUCAUCCUCACACUGCUCCACCAGCUGUCGCCAUGGAAACACCAAUUAGAAAUGUGUAUCUUUUAUUUUGACGGUCCUGUCGGCACUUUCUCCAUCUUACCUCCUGCAGUCGGUCUCGUCUCCGCUCCGCCUGCUGCUCUGUAGUUACCGUAGUGAUGCCGAGCUUUGGUGGUCGACCGCGGCGACCCCGCCUACUCACAAUCCCCAUCGUCACCUGAAAGAAUCAACCAAUCACAUUCACAGAUUAGGCACCUGAGCGACUGGUCUUGAAGAACACAGCAAACAUAAACCUGAUCCAUUGUACAGGUGUGAUCUGUCCCAGGUAAUGUUUUCUGACUUCAGCCUGUGGAGCUGACUCACCUUGGGAGGCGGUCCCAGUGAUCGGCCCCGCCCUCGACCGCGGCCCCGGCCUCUACCUCGGCCUCUGGGACGGCCGGGGCCCCGAUGAUGGAGGCCCCUGAGUCCUGCUGCUGGUGCUGGACCAACCUCCACCUGAAGACAAGCCGACACCAUGUGAACUGGUUAAUUUAAAACCGAGACAAACCAUUAAUAGUGGAUGAUUGCUGGAUGGUUGCCUCACUCUGUUUGUUGCCAUGGCAGCAGGUUUGUCCUCCUUCUUCUUCUCCUCCUCCUUCUGCUCUUUGUCUCUGGCAGCUCCUGCUGUGGUCUCCUCUGAUUGGCCAGGGAGGGGCGGCGUGCUGUCAGGCGGUUCAGGUUCUCCAUGGGUCGGGUUCAGUUUGUAGUGCCGGUUCAGGCCCCCGGGGCCGAUGUAAGCUUUGUCGCAGGUCUGGCAGCGGUGGGAACGAGAUUUGUGGCUGUAGGUGAGGGAGGCAGAGCUGCCGGGGGCAGGGCCAUCCUUCUUCCCGCCCUCGCCGUCCUCCUCCUCCUCCACGCUCAUGUCGGAGUAGUCGUCAGAGUCGGACUGGUGGCUGUCAGCGAGGUCCUCCGUCUUUAUGAAUUUGUAGUCUUUGGCUUUGUACUUGGGCGGUCUGGACACCCGACCGGAUCGGGUUUGGACUUUCACCGCCUUCUUCUCCCUCUUCUUCAACUUCUUCUCUUUUUCUCGCUCUCGGUCCCUUGCUGGGGGCGGGGCUACAGGGCGUGCGGUCACUGUGACGGGUCGAGCAGCAGGUGUGGUCUGAACUGGGACUGUUGUGAUGACUGUAGGUGGUUUAAUGGGACUUUUACCAGCAACAGUCGCCGUGCUGUUAGCAGGGGUUUUAAUUAAUGGAAUGCUAACAGUUUUAACAAUGGUGGGCGGGGUCUUAAUUAUAGUUGGGGACGUCUUAACGGUGGAGGUGAUCGGGACUCUGAUGGGCGACGAUGCUGGUUUCUGGCCCAGACUGGAGGCAGCACUCGCUGUGGUCGUCUGACCCGUCAGCUUGUGGACCAGUGGGAGCAGAGAACCUACAACGGGGGCGGGGCUCUGCAGUAGGAGCUGGAUUGGCGGAUCACCUGGAUUCUGCUGCAGGAAGAACUGCUGACCCUGCUGACCAACCACAGGCUGGAGGUGGAUGAUCUGAGCAUUGCUUACGCUGCCGUUGGCUGGCAGCUUCACCUGCGGAUGACUGACAGCAACAGUUUUCUGCUGGGCGACGGGCUUCAUUUCCUGUUUGGGAGGAACCUGGAUCUGGAUCCUGACGGGAUCCGGCUGAAAGACAGAAACCAGAAUCAGAAUCAGGACAUCUUCAUGAAGACUAUGGCAGAUGGUAAAAGCUCUAGAACAGCAGCUAAAUGGCGCUAACGCUACAUGUUAGCAGGACCUGCUGAGCAACAGGAGACGGAUCUGUCAGAAGUGGAUCUUUACAGCACAGAAAUAAACUUCAGCUUUGUUCAAAUAAAUAACAACCAUCAGUAAAUGUUAAAGGUAAACAUUUGGAAGUUAACAGAAAAGUAGACAGAUUCGUUCUUGGGGUUUAAAGGUACAUGUAGAAAAUAUUCAGGAUAGGGCUUUCCAGUCCAGCAUGCAUGUUUACAAAACGAAUGCUACACGUGGAACUUUUUCCAUCUGAAGAAGUCGAAUUUAAACGCUGUGUUUUCUCCUCCUAGUUAUGGUGAGCACAGACCAACCAGAGCUCGAAGACUUUUUACUGUUAUUUAAAUCUGCUGUUCAGGAACACUAGAGUUUCUCAGUUUACUACAAUAAAGAUGGACCAAACAAUAGCUGAA